UGGGCUCACCAGGACAACGUCAUCCCCAGAUGGGACCUGGGAGACAGCGGCAGGCUCCAUCCAGGAGUGACGCACUUGCCAACAAACAAGCCACCCAGCCCCUGGCCCCUCUGUGGCUUUCUUAGGGACAGGCUCGAUGACCGAGGAUUACUCUCCCAGAGGAAAUCACCACUUCAAGGGCUCACAGACUCCGGGCCUAAAUCCUCCCGCUUCUUCAGAUCCCUGCGCUAAGCCCCAGCCCUCAGAGGAGGCUGUCCGACUUCGCUGAGUAUGUCAGACCUGCCUCUCAUAGCAUCUCUUGGCAACCUUCCUCACACUGAUGCUGCCAGGAUGUAAAAAGAAUACUGCUGCCCAAUCCCUACCUUCACAGAGCUCCAACUACCAGCCCAUCAGUGUAGACCACUGGGAAACCCCAAGGCUUUGGAAACAGACAGACCUGGGUUUGCAGCCUGGUACUACCGUGUGACAAGAAAACCUCUAAGGACUCAGUUUUUCCUCCCUAAAUACAGGGAGAAAAGCACAUGGAGAGCCUGGGACUGAGCUAUGGGGAAUACCCUUUAGAGGUAAACCAUCAAAGACCACCAAAAAGGAGUGGCCAGGACAGAAACCAGGAGGGGAGGUGUCAUCGAAGCCAAGAAGGAAGUGCUUCAACUACAAAACUCGAUAAGGGAAGGAUAAGCUAUGUCAAAUACUGCUGAGAGGCUGAGAACGAUGAAGAGAGAGACAUGACCUUUGGCUUUGCAAGAUGGAGGUCACUAGAGACCUUGGCAAGAACAUCUAAGUGGAGCAUGUGAACCAGGUCUGCGUGGACAGCAAGAAGGAGAGAAGACAUGGAGAUAUUCCUUUGGAAAGAUGGUUCUGUGAGGAGGAGGACAGCUGGUAGAUGCUCCAUCUGAAAAAAUGGAAGGAUGUGCACCAAGGCUCAGCUCCACCUCUCCCAGAUGGAAUCAGUGGAGACAUUUUAAACUUUGAUGACCUUGCUGCACUGCUCCAAGGUUGUGGUGAGACUCUGAGAAGGAGUUAGAAAAGACAGAGAUAACAAUGGACACGGUGAAGAGGGAGAGCGAUCCGAAGAGAGAAUGGACAUCCAUGUAGGGUAAAUGGACUAAGCAAUGCAUCACGAGGAAGAGUGAAGAAAUGCCUGGCAUCAUCUUCUAGAUUCUGUACAUGUAUGUGAAUGUCUAAGAGUUUUCCAUCUGGUAAUAUGGACUGUUACCUGCACACCUACCCGGAGUUUAUGGCCCUGAUUCAGGGGAUCUGUACAUACCCUGAGAAGAUACAUACAUGCUCACAGCCAUGCACAUACACACAUGAGCGUGCACACUCAAACACACAUGCACAAUCAGAAGCAGAAUCUGUGUUCCACUAACACGCCUUGGGCAUGUCUCCCUGAAACCUUGUCUUCUCCAUUUUUCCUGCCAGGAGGCCUGCUCAGUGAACUCCUUGCUACAGGGGCCAGGGUAAUGUAAAUGUGUGAUGUGGGUUGAGCAUAUGAUGUUAAAUGGCAACAGGCACUGGUCUUCUGUGUCAGGGAGACACAGAGUGAUGAGGGCUGCCUGAACUGGAGCAGCUUGUUGCCCAUCCUGAGAGAGUAGCCGCCACCCAGCUGCAUUUGUUGCCUAUUGGUUUCCUAUGGAGGCUGUAAGAAAUUGCUACAAACUUAAUAGCUUAAAACAACGCAAAUUUAUUAUCUCACAGUUCUGGAGAUCAGAAGUCCAAAAUAGGCCUUAUAGGGAUUGCAGUAUUAUGAUUUAAAAGAAAAAAAUAUAUAUGGUUACUCAGAUGACCAAAAUAUAUUUCUUGUAUAUUAUUUGGUCUUUGUCCACUCCUCCCGGCUCACAGUUCCCAAAACCCUGAGAAUUCCCUAAGUGCUGAGAGUGAUCAAGGUGUCUUUUGUUAUGUUAAUGAGGUGACUUUUGGACCCACCUAAGGAGGGGGGCUGCUUGCCAGUGGAGCCAACUGAGUGAUUAGAGGGUUAGAAAUUUCAGUCCCACCACCCGCUUCUGACCUCCUGGGAGGGGCGGGCAGCUGGAGAUUGAGUUCAAUUACCAAUAGUCAAUGAUUUAAUCAGUCGUGCUUAUGUAAUGAAGCCUCCAUCCAAACUCAAAAGGAUGGGGUUUGGAGACCUUCCAGGAUGGCGAACACAUGGAGGUGCUCGGAGAGUGGCGCUUCUGGCGCUAUGGAAGCUCAUGCCCUUUCCCCGUACCUUGCCCUCUGCAUCUCUUCCAUCUGGCUGCUCCUGGCUUAUAUCCUUUUAUACUAAACAAGUGAUCUAGUAGGUAGAAUGUUUCUCUGAACUCUGUGAGCCUCUCUAGCAAAUUAAUUGAACCCAAGGAAGAAGUAAUGGUAACCUCUAAUUUACAGCCGGUCAGUCAGAAAGACAGGUAAAAACCUGGACUUGUGAUUGGUAUCCUGAGUUGGAGGGGGCUGUUGGAACUUCCAGUUUGUAGCUGGUGGGUCAGAAGCACAGGCAACAACCUGGGCUAGUGACUGGCAUCUGAAGUGGGGAGUGGGUGACAGUCUUGUAGGACCAAACCCUUAAUCGGGGAAUCUGAUGCUACCUCCAGGCAGAAAGUGCCAGAAUUGAGUUGUUGUAUUCUUGAACACCCUGCUGGUGUCUGAGAAUUGCUUGGUGGUGUGUGGGGAAGCCCCCUGCCUCGCACACUGGAAUUGGAAACCUGUUUAGGGAUAAACUCAAGGUGUUGGCAUGGCUGUCUUCCUUCUAAAGACUCUAGAGGAGAAUAUGUUCCUUGCCUUUUCCAUCUUCUGGAGGCUGCCCACAUUCCUUACCAUGGCCUCCUUUCACCUUGAAAGCCAUCACUCUGACCUCUGCUUUUGACCUCUCCUUCCCUGACUCUGACUCUCCUGCCUCCCUCUUCCGUUUAUAAGGACCCUUGUGAUUACAUUGGGCCCACCCAGAAAAUCCAGAAUAAUCUCCCAUCUCAAGACCUUUACCCUAAUCACAUCCACAGAGUCUUUUGCCAUGUAAGGUAACAUAGUCACAGAUUCCAGGGAUUAGGAUGUGGACAUCUUGGUGGGGAGCUAUGCUGCCUAUCACAAUUGCUAAAUGGGCAUGCAGGCCCAGAAUAGCCAUAUCUUCCAAUUCUUUUCAAGGUAAGCUAGAAAUCUGGAUUUUUACAUGAUCGUGCAGAAAAGAGUUGACAUAGCAGAACUGAGACUUAGAAAGCCUGCUCGCAAGGUUGGCCCUUGGCUGGCAUCUGGGAACUUGGCUCUUAGAGUGCGCCCAGUCAACAGCUAACUGAUAAGGAUGGUUCGUUGUGCCUAGAUGGUGUGUGUAAACGAUAUGAUUUAUGCUGAACACCUGCUUUUCUUCUAAAGAGUCUGGAAUUUUGGUAAGUGCAAGGCAGAGGUGCCUAUGUGACCAGCCCCCACUAAAAACCUUGGGUGCUGAGUCUCUAACGGGCUUUCUUGGGCAGAAACACUGCAGGGAAAUGUCCCAUUUUCAUUUUGGAGGAAGAGUACACUGUGUGAGCCCUUAUGGGAGGGAGAGGGCAUAGAUACCUUCAGACUCUGCUUGUGUCUUUUCCCCUUAUUAUCCAGUUGUGUAUUGUUCCUACAUCACUGUAAUAAACCUUAGCUGGGAGUACAAGUUUAUGCUGAGUCCUGUGAGUCUGUCUGGCAAGUCUCCUAACAUAGGGGUGGUCUUUGGGGAUGCCCCAAAGACAAUUCCUGAUUUUUUUCAUAUUCUAAACGCUAUGGGGGUUAACACUGUGGGGGAAUUUGGCCUCCAGGCUGCUAAUUUGAAACUUCUGACUUCUUAGAGUUUCACCUUAAUUUUAGUCCCAUCUCUGUAGUGAAAAAAUUCACCUGACACACACGUAGCAAAUCUUUACCACAUGCUAAGCGCCAUACUAAGAGCUACGGACACAGAAGUGAAUAAGACACAAUCCUUACCUUCAACAAGGUCGCUAUCUAAUAAGAUGGACAUGUACAAGAAUAACUGCAGCGUGAGGUGCUACACACACUAAAAUAAGUGAAUAAAGUGCUCUAAGAGUCCAGACAACUGCAUACACGGUGCUUUGCUGUGUAUGUACACAUCCCUCAGUUCAUCCGGUCCUCACGAUCCGA